rnacentral:rRNA from 1 species
UACGUAGGGGGCAAGCGUUGUCCGGAAUCAUUGGGCGUAAAGAGCGUGUAGGCGGCCAGAAAAGUCCGCUGUGAAAACUCGAGGCUCAACUUCGAGCUGUCGGUGGAAACUUUCUGGCUAGAGUCCGGAAGAGGAGAAUGGAAUUCCUGGUGUAGCGGUGGAAUGCGCAGAUAUUAGGAAGAACAUCGGUGGCGAAGGCGCUCUGCUGGACCAUAACUGACACUCAGGGACGAAAGCUAGGGGAGCGAAUGGG